rnacentral:lncRNA from 1 species
AGGGAUGCAAAACCUAGAGCCCCAGGGACCUUUAAAUAGUGUCAGAGGCGUGCCAGAGCGAGGCCCGGUCCAAAAGAAUCAAACCAAAGCAAAAACAGGGCCCGAUCCACGUGAAUUCUCUCUCAGGCGUCGAGGGAGGGGCACUCGAGCGUGAUUUGAGGAUCAUGUAAGGCUUGGGCGUCAUAUUUGGACACCCAGGCUACGAAGCACCACCACCCGGGCAGCAGACGUCAAUUUUUCUCGCUUUAGCGGACGCUCGAGCUACGUGUUUUCCCUCC